GCAGAAGACUUGUCUCUUGGCGAGGGACGGGCGCCGCUGACCCAGCACGUCCAGGACCAGUCCGUCGGCGGCCCCCACGCGGGUCCUGGGCUCCAGCUCUUCGCCGGGGGGCGCCUCCUGCUGUUCAUCCCCUCCCUCUUUUCGAUCCCCAGCUUCCUCCUCUUCCUCCUCCAGCUCCAACUGCAGUGGCAAGGUCUGGGGAUUGAGAGGCCCGGCAUGACUAAGAGAUAUCGUGAAAUUACAACUCAACAAUGAAUUACAGCACAGGCUUUUCACAACUAAGAGACUGUCCAUCAUGGUGCCAGUUUUUCUCAAAAUGGCAUGUGUGCAUGAAAUUCUACAGGCAUAUGGGGUCGUGAUCUGCUAAUCUCCAGUUAUUAUAACUACUUUGAAAAGGGACUUUCCAGCUAUCAGUACACUAUCUCACAAUUACCCUUGAACCAGAAGACAAUGAAUGAUUUGCUAAACAGAUGGCAUAGUCUAUGACAUGCAUCAUAUGUGUGAGCAAUCACAGAAGACUCCUUCCUGUUGCCUUGUGAAGAAGGCUCCUGCUUCCCCUUCACCUUCUGCGCGAUUGUAAGUUUCCUGAGGCCUCCUAGCCAUGCUUCUUGUUCACUCUGCGGAACUGUCCUGAGCUGAAAAGAAUAUGAGAAAUCGGAUUUUACGACAUGGUUAUAGGCGGAAGGGAUUUGCCUUGUCUCAGAUGAGACUUUGGACUGUGGACUUUUGAGGAAAGGCCGCAUUUCAGAGUCUAAGAUGCUGCAGUGACUCUCAGGAGGUGGACUACAUUCAGAUCAAAGGAAAGGAAGGAGUAUGGAUAAACAUUAACAUCUAUUGAGCAUUCCCUUUACUGCAUCGAGGGGAGAACUUGAAAAAAUGUUUUCUACUUCCUUCUGGCCUGCAUGGUUUCUGAUGAAAAGCCUUUUUUAUUUAAAUUGUUUUUCCUAAUAGAUAAGGUGUCAUUUCUGUCUCUCUGCUUUCAAGAUUUUUUUCUUUGUCUUUAGUUUUUACAAGUUUGACGAUUAUAGGUCUUGGUAUGAAUUUCUUUGGGCUUCUCCUUUUUGGGGUCCACUUAACUUUUUGAAUCUGUACAUUUAUAUCUUAUGCCAAAUUUGGAAUGUUUUUAGCUAUUGUUUGUUAGAGUAUUUACCAGCUCUGCUGUCUUUCUCCUCUCCCUUCAAGACUCUAAUUACAGUAAUGUUUAAUCUUUUGUUAUGAUCUCAAAGGUCCCUGAGGCUCUGUUCACUUUUUGUUUAGUCUACCUUCUCUCUGUUAUCCAUAUUGUAUCAUUUCUAUUGAUGUAUCUUCAAGUUCACUGAUUAUUUCUUCUGUCUUCUCUAUUCUGCUGCUGAGCUCUUCCACUGAGUUUUAAAAUUUGGUUCUUCUGUUGUUUUAGUUCUAAAAUUCACAUUGGUUUUUAUUUAUAUCUCCUACUUCUUUACUUUCUUUUAUUUGCUUUUUAUUGCUAUUUAUUAUUCCAUUUGAAGCAAUAAUUUUUAUAAUGGCUGCUUUAAAACCUUUUUUCAGAUAAUUCUAACAUUUCUAUUAGCUCAGUGUUGACAUCUGUUGAUUGUCUGGUGUAUUAGACCAUUCUCCCACUGCUAUGAAGAAAUAUGCAAGACUGGGUAAUUUAUAAAGGAAAGAGGUUUACUUCACUCACAGUUCCACAUGGCUGGGGAACCCUCAGGAAACUUACAAUCAUGGCAGAAGGCAAAGGAGAAGCAGGCACCUUCUUCACAGGGUGGCAGGACAGAGUUGAGUGCAAGCAGGGGAAAUGCCAGAUGCUUAUGAAAGGGAAGAGGCUUACUACUUCCUGGUGAGGGUGAAAGUACCAGUUCCCUACUGUCAUCCCUUUGACACCACCCUAGUGGGGAAUGUGAGGUGGUGGUUUGGGCAUCUAGCCUGAGGCUCACAAGAGUGGAAGUCUAAGCUCCCACUGGGCCUUUGCUGGCUUGUGUGGGAAUGGACCAUAGUUUUUUUCUGUGGUGUCUGGCUUGAACAGAGAGGUUAUUGUCCAAGAAUUUUUGGUUUUUCUAGCUCUUUGACUAGAGAGAACAGCUUUUUGUUGGGGGUUUUCAUCUGCACCUAUUGGCAUUGCUAUGUAGUCAGGUUCUUCAGCUCUAAGUCUGAGAUCUAUAAGGCAAAAGCAAAUACAAAAAAAAAAAAAUGCAGGGGACUCACAACAUUUUUCUUCACUUCCAAUGUCCCUAGCCAGUCUGCCAUCUUCUCUCCCACUUUCAGAGUCUUUUUGUGUUUGUUUUAUAUAUAAUGUUCAGAAAUUUUAGUUGUACUUCAGGGGAGAAAUAGAUAAAAGUAUGUCUAUUCGAUUUUCCCCAAAGCGGAAGUUCCCUUUUUGUGUUCAUUGAAAAGAGAUAUAUUUAGGAUACAGAAUUAGCUUGACUUGAUUUGUUAAAUGUGGAUCUUAGAAAGUGUUGUCUAAUGGCCUUAGAGCAAUAAUGCCACAAUUUUGGGCAUCCCUUUAUCCCAGGCCCAAUAUCUCUGUUUCUACGAAAUCAGAUUUACUUUUAGUUAUAAUUCUGUGUUAUAAUUUUAGUUAUAUUGCCUGUGUUGAUUAAGAACAUUCCAAGCACUUUGGGAGGCCAAGGCCAGCAGAUCACAAGGUCAGGAGAUCGAGACCAUCCUGGCUAACACGGUGAAACCCUGUCUCUCCUAAAAAUACAAAAAAAUGAGCCAGGCGUGGUGGCGGGCGCUUGUAGUCCCAGCUACUCGGGAGGCUGAAGCGGGAGAAUGGUGUGAACCCAGGAGACGGAGCUUGCAGUGAGCUGAGAUCAUGCCACUGCACUCCAGCCUGGGCG
ensembl:lncRNA RNF217-AS1 RNF217 antisense RNA 1 (head to head)